rnacentral:rRNA from 1 species
GAUGAACGCUGGCGGCGUGCCUAAUACAUGCCAGUCGAGCGAACAGACGAGGAGCUUGCUCCUCUGACGUUAGCGGCGGACGGGUGAGUAACACGUGGAUAACCUACCUAUAAGACUGGGAUAACUUCGGGAAACCGGAGCUAAUACCGGAUAAUAUAUUGAACCGCAUGGUUCAAUAGUGAAAGACGGUUUUGCUGUCACUUAUAGAUGGAUCCGCGCCGCAUUAGCUAGUUGGUAAGGUAACGGCUUACCAAGGCAACGAUGCGUAGCCGACCUGAGAGGGUGAUCGGCCACACUGGAACUGAGACACGGUCCAGACUCCUACGGGAGGCAGCAGUAGGGAAUCUGCCGCAAUGGGCGAAAGCCUGACGGAGCAACGCCGCGUGAGUGAUGAAGGUCUUCGUAUCGUAAAACUCUGUUAUGAGGGAAGAACAAAUGUGUAAGUAACUAUGCGCGUCUUGACGGUACCUAAUCAGAAAGCCACGGCUAACUACGUG